rnacentral:rRNA from 1 species
GACGAACGCUGGCGGCGUGCUUAACACAUGCAAGUCGAACGGAAAGGCCUGCUUUCCCUUGUGGAUUGCGGGUACUCGAGUGGCGAACGGGUGAGUAACACGUGAGUGAUCUGCCCCCAACUUGGGUAUAAGCCUGGGAAACUGGGUCUAAUUCCCGAUAGGACUGCAGGGUGGUGCCUGUGGUGGAAAACGAUUUUCUAGUGGUUGGGGAUGAGCUCGCGGCCUAUCAGCUUGUUGGUGGGGUAAUGGCCUACCAAGGCGGCGACGGGUAGCCGGCCUGAGAGGGUGGACGGCCACAUUGGGACUGAGAUACGGCCCAGACUCCUACGGGAGGCAGCAGUGGGGAAUAGUGCACAAUGGGCGGAAGCCUGAUGCAGCGACGCCGCGUGGGGGAUGACGGCCUUCGGGUUGUAAACUCCUUUCGACCGCGAGGAAGCCACCUGGUUGGAAGGGUGGUGACGGUAGUGGUAGAAGAAGCACCGGCUAACUGCGUG